GACGUAGGGCGCGAGCGUUGUCCGGAUUUAUUGGGCGUAAAGAGCUCGUCGGCGGCUUGUCGCGUCGACUGUGAAAUCCCGCGGCUCAACUGCGGGUCUGCAGUCGAUACGGGCAGGCUAGAGUUCGGUAGGGGAGACUGGAAUUCCUGGUGUAGCGGUGAAAUGCGCAGAUAUCAGGAGGAACACCGGUGGCGAAGGCGGGUCUCUGGGCCGAUACUGACGCUGAGGAGCGAAAGCGUGGGGAGCGAACAGG
rnacentral:rRNA from 1 species